UACAGAGGUGCCAAGCGUUAGGCGGAAUCACUGGGCUUAAAGCGCGUGUAGGCGGGUCGUUAAGUGUCCGAGUGAAAUCCCACGGCUCAACCGUGGAACUGCCGGGCAUACUGGCGAUCUUGAGGCAUUCAGGGGCGAGCGGAACAAAUGGUGGAGCGGUGAAAGUGCGUAGAUAUCAUUUGGAACGCCAAUGGUGAAAACAGCUCGCUGGGAAUGAUCUGACGCUGAGACGCGAAAGCCAGGGGAGCGAAUGGG
rnacentral:rRNA from 1 species